CCUGACCUGGUAAAAACUAAAAACACAUCAAUCGGAGAAACAGUUGGAACUUCAGAAUUUGAAUGCUGGGGAACGCAUAAAUAUGGUAAAACUAUAUUACUAGUUUGCAUUUCAUCCUAGACCUGUUUACUCUCCAAGGAAGGAACAUAUUUUUGCAUCAUGAAAUCUUGAAGGAUUUCUUUUUCACGUGCAUAGAACUUGCGAGUUCUUUGAUAGAACAUAGAGAAGGAAAGAGAACAUAGGGAAGGAUUUCUUCUCUUCUUUUUUAUUUUAUUUUAUUUUAUUUUUAUCCUGAAUUAAAAAAAAGUCUUGUUUUUUGUAAAUUAAGGCCCUGUGUGGAGCUUGGAAAGAGCAUUCUUCCAUUUCUUUUCUUCUUUCCAGAUCCAAUAUCCUGCAAAGUGUUGGUGCUGUGAAGGAGGAGAUACUUUGGAUUUCUUCUCCUUUUGGUCCAAAGAGAAAAGAGGGUGCAUAAUUCAUUUAGAUUGUUGGAAAAACAAACUUACCCAUGAUCUGGAGCUGUAGUUCUCUAGCUUCCCCCAUCUCAAAGACCCCAGAAUCCCUCAAAAAUGAUGCCAAGGCCAGAGAGGCAGACAGAAAGAGAGGCAGAGGAAAGCUGGGGAAUGCAAAAGAUGAUGAAACUGAAAAGGAUUUUUCAGCACGGAUGAAACAUGCAAGAAAUGACAGCAACAGGGAAUUCAAGCAAGAAGAUUAUUGUAAGCACGUAUAACUGAUUUUUCGCUUUGAUAAGUAGGCUAAGGCUUUGUGCAUGGGGGGUUGCACAGCAUAUAAAAAGGCAGAAGCACUGAACACAACACUACAAUAGCAUGAUCCAAAGUCCAAACUGGGAGUCCAGCUUUAGUUUCUUGCUUCAUUAGUAUGACUAAUCAAUGUUUCCAACUGGUUUGAAGCACUAACCUACAAAACUCUCUUUGGAAUGGAUGGCUAUUCUAUCAUUAUUGGUGGUCCUGCAAUUAAAAUCCUUGUAAUUGCAUUUUGAUAAUGGGAUAUUAUUGAUGAUCCCCUUCGCCCGUUCGGUUGAUUCUGAUUUUUAAUCUGCUUUGCCUUGA